UCAGGUCCCGCGGGCAGCAGCCAGCCCCUGCUGGACACAGUCCAGCCAGAGCCCUUGGCCAGGGCCCCGGUGCCAAAUGCCACCAGCGCAAGGCAUUCUGGGAGAGCCUGAUGCUACGGGGGCUCGGUCUCUGCUUGGCUGCAGCCCAAGAGCAAAGCUGCAGUCAGCAGCGUGUUGUGGUAACCUUUCCUGCACACCAGCAAACCCUCAGCACAGCAGGCCCAGCCCCCUGCAGGGCCUGCAGCCGCCCCCGGGGGAUUAAGAGGCUCUGGCCAGCCAACGAGGGAAGCAAUGCCCUGGCUCCAAGAGCGGCAAGGGCCCUACAAGGGCACCGAAUGGAGCUGCCUGGGGACUGGCCUGCGCCAUCCCCGCUGGAGAGCUCCUGGUCCAAGCAGGCCAACGCUCCUGGCGUUUCCUCCCCUUGUGUCCAUGGCGGCUUGGGCUGCAUUAGCGCUGCGCAGCAGAGUCUCGUUGGGGUGGAUAACGGGGACAUGCCUGUGCCCUCUGCUGCCGGAGGAACUUGGCCAAGAUCAGACACAGGCUGACAUCCAAUGCUCUGCAGUGGGAGAAGCCGCUCCCUGCCCUUGCCCAGAUCUUGCUCCAGGCCUGAGAGGUUCUUUCUCAGCUGCGGCCUCUUGCCUAGGCCAGCUGGUAUCGAACCCACCGUCCUCUCGCACAGCCGCAGCAGAGGGCAAGGAACCCGUGGAGCAAGCUGCCAAGCCCGUCUCUUGCUGCCUCCCUCCCCUAGGAGAUCUGCUUUAGCCAGCGCAGGUCACGUGACCUUAACUCAGGAGCAACCGGACGAAAUCCCACAGCCUGGGUUAGCCAGGAGGUGAGACGAACACGGGCUGUCACGUACCAGGUCAGCCUGGGAGUGCCUGGCUAACAGCACCCUGCUCAUGCUCACCACUCCCGCCCGCGCUGCGAGCAAGAUGGCUCACGUUUGAGUCCCAUGAACCCCCCACAGUACCAGCCCUGUCUCCUUCCCCCCCGCCCCCCAGGAAACUGAGGCACCCACAUGCUUCAUCUC